GCCGCGGUGGCGAAACAGGUAGACGCAAGGGACUUAAAAUCCCUCGGGAUAUACAACUCCCGUGCCGGUUCGAUUCCGGCCCGCGGCACCA
rnacentral:tRNA from 2 species